UGGGAAGAAUCUGAAAGUUUUAUCAGUAAAGACCAGCUGUAUUAAUUUUGCAUGCUUAUAUCUGGUAAUCUGAACAACUACUUUGAAGGACCCAGCACCAUGGAACUUCCGGAUCUUCCCUCAGAUCAAAAAUACAAUGAAAGAACAUGGAGCAUGGAGCUGAGCCAGCUUCAACCACGUAAGCAGGAGAUGGUGGUACAAUCAGAUUACAAGAAGAAAUUGUGUUCCUUGAUGGCAGGUAGAACAGAG